rnacentral:RNase_P_RNA from 1 species
AAAAAGCGAUUGUCGCAGGCAGAAGCAAUUCUGCGUGAGGAAAGUCGGGACAGCACAGAGCACCGUACUUCUUAACAGGAAGGUAUCUUUAAGAUAACAGCAAGUGCCACAGAAAAUUACCGCUCUUCGGAGUAAGGGUGAAAAUGUGAGGUAAGAGCUCACGCGAGGUCAUGGUGACAUGGUUUCGGGGUAAACCUUACGGGCUGCAAGACCAAAUAUACCGACGCUGAGGGCUGCUCGUCCAAGUCGGGAGGGUAGGUUGCUUGAGUCUUUCGGCAACGACAGACCUAGAGAAAUGACAAUCACCUUGGAAACAAGGAACAGAAUCCCGCUUAUGCUUUUUAUAA